rnacentral:rRNA from 1 species
CGAGAUCCGGUACGUGACUGGAGUUCAGACGUGUGCUCUUCCGAUCUCGCGAGUUCAACAUUGCAGAUGAUGGGCGUGCGAAAGCGAAAAGUAUUUCACUACUAGCGGAGCGCGUAUGUUAGGUCCCGAAAAAUGGCGAACUAUUUCUGCUCAGGCUGAAGUCAUUGGAAACUUUGAUGGAAGGUCUCAACGGUUUUGACGUGCAAAUCGAUCGUGUGAAGCAGGUAUAGGGGCGAAAGACCAAUCGAGCCAUUUAGUUGCUGGUUCUCUCUGAAGUUUCCCUCAGGAUAGCGGUCCCUACAGAAUAAUGUGCGGUAAAGAGAAUGAUUAGAGGUAUCUGGGAAAGCUUUUCCUAGGCCGAUUUUCAAACUCAGAAUGCGCAUCAAUGAUUUCUCCAUGAAUUGUUGAAUUAUCUUAGGGAUCAGUGGGCCUUUUUUGGUAAGCAGAUCGGGCGAUGAGGGUUCCUCCUAGAGUCGAGAUAACGUGCUCAAAGCUACAUCAAUUAAAUGAUGUCAGUGCAUACUGACAGCAGGAGGGUGGCCAUGGAAGUUGGAAUCCACUAAGGAGUGUGUUACAACUCACCUGCCGAAUGUACUGGCUCAGAAAAUUGAUAGCUAACCCGUAGCAACUAAUUCUCGACGCUAAGUAAGAGAGCGUAGUGGUCGGAUAGAAUCCAGAGCGUGAGCCUUGGUCGACCGGCCACCAUUGCAGAUCUCGGUGGUAGUAGCACUUGCUAAAAUGGAACCUUUUAGGACCACUUGGACGAAGGUUCCACGACAACAGCCAAUGUUCGUGGGUAAGUCGGCCUUAAUCGCGCAGUCGAGAAAAGCAACCAGGUUAAUAUUCCUGGACAACACAGGAAAACGGCAACGUUUGCGCGGGUAUUUGUUAGGUGUUGGAAGGAGGGGGACUUUCGUCCCUCUUAACAGCUGUACGCCUCUGGAACUGUGUGAAACAGAGAUAGAGGCAGACACUGGAAUAAGUACCUCUUGCGGGUACUCCUGAGCCAGCACUUGACCUCUGAAAAAUACCCGCGUUCUGUGGUGUAGCCGUACCAAUAGCCGCAUCAGGUCUCCGAGACGCAAAGUCUUCGGUUCAAUGGAUGAAUGUAAGCAAGGGAAGUCGACAAGUUCGAUCCGUAACUUCGGGAAAAGGAUUGGCUUCGUGGACUUAGUGAGGAAUGUCUGUCCUAGCGAGGAAUGUGACUCUACCGAGUUGCUCCUACGCUGGGCACAGCAACCUCACUAGCAAUACAUGAAACUGACGCGCAAACGAGGAAUCUGACUGUUUAAUCGAAACGUAGCAUCAUGCAGCGUGGUGUGGACAUGAUGUGAUUUCUGCUCAGUGCUUUGAAAGUUAAAGUUGAGCAACCGACAGAAGCGCAGGUCAACAGCGGGAGUAACUAUGACUCUCUUAAGGUAGCGAAAUGCCUCGUCAUCUAAUUAGUGACGUGCAUGAAUGGAGCAACGAGAUUCCUACUGUCCCUGUUUACUAUUCAGCGAAACCACAGCCAAGGGAACGGGCUUGGUACACACAGCGGGGAAAGAAGACCCUGUUGAGCUUGACUCUAGUCUGGAUCGGUUUGGCGACUUGUCAGGUGUAGCAUAGGUGGGAGAGUUUCGCCAAUGAAAUACCACUACUGACAUAGUUUCUGAACCCACGAUGUUCGUGCAGCAUCAGGAUGCAUUUUCAUCGGCAAAUCCAGAUCGGGAGUUUGGCUGGGGCGGCAUAUCUGUUAAAAGAUAACGCAGGUGUCCUAAGACGAGCUCAGGCAGAUCAGAAAUCUGCCGUAGACUGACAGGAGAAAGACUCGCUUGAUUGUAGUCUCCAGUACGGACUACAAAUGCUAACGCAUGGCCUAUCGAUCCUUACGCGUUGACUUUUUCAGCUAGAGGUGUCAGAAAAGUUACCACAGGGAUAACUGAUUCGUGGCGACCAAGAGUUCAUAUCGACGUCGCUUUUUGAUCCUUCGAUGUCGGCUCUUCCUAUCAUUGUGAAGCAGAAUUCACAACGUGUCGGAUUGUUCACCCGCUAAUAGGGAACGUGAGCUGGGUUUAGACCGUCGUGAGACAGGUUAGUUUUACC